rnacentral:rRNA from 1 species
GACGAACGCUGGCGGCGUGCUUAACACAUGCAAGUCGAGCGGUAAGGCCCUUUCGGGGGUACGACGAGCGGCGAACGGGUGGAGUAACACGUGGGUGACCUGCCCUCAGCUCUGGGAUAAGCCUGGGAAACGUGGGUCUAAUACUGGAUAUGACUCCACGGUGCAUGUCGUGGGGUGGAAAGCCUUGUGCGGCUGAGGAUGGGCCCGCGGCCUAUCAGCUUGUUGGGUGGGGGGAUGG